UUGAUUACGUCCCUGCCCUUUGUACACACCGCCCGUCGCUGCCCGGAACUGAGCCAUUUCGAGAAACUUGGGGACCGCUGACUUGGUGGCUCUCGGGUCACCUCGUUGGUGGAAACCAAUUUAAUCGCAGUGGCUUGAACCGGGCAAAAGUCGUAACAAGGUAGCUGUAGGUGAACCUGCUGCUGGAUCAUUACAUUUCAACCAAAUAAUGGUCAAAUACGAAGCUUGGAUAGCUCAUUGAAGAGCCCGCAUAUUUACUUGAUGGUGGUGAAUAGCGCAACGGCUAACGUUGGUGUCUCUAUGUUGCUGAGCAGUUGUCGUCGUCCGUGGCUGCAAUGAGGUGACAUGGUAGGACUAUAUGCAGAUGGCAUUUGGUUUAAGACUUAAUGAGCCCAAGGACUCUGGGCCGCCAACACCCAUUUCUUCAUAUACAUUUUUUCACAUUGAACAAAGAAAUUCUAGUCUUAUCGGUGGAUCACUCGGCUCGUAGGUCGAUGAAGAACGCAGCUAACUGCGAUAAAUAGUGCGAACUGCAGAAACAUUGAGCACAAAACAUUCGAAUGCACAUUGCGCCAUUGGAGUCUCUUCCUUUGGCACGCCUUGUUCAGGGUCGUCAUCCAAAAACGCAUCAUUUUUGCGUGAAAAUUCAGAAUACAAUUUUGUAUACUUGGAGGAAAAAGGACACUUGGAAUCACUAUUGCGGAUGUGAGAAGUAUGAGAAUACAUCGACUUUGAUCGUCAUGAAGGUGGAAGCGUCUACCUGCGCUUUGCUGGUGGCCAAAUGCCUAGCCAUAAAGUGGCAAUGUUCAUAAUUUCGACCUGAACUCAGACGUGAGUACCCGCUGAACUUAAGCAUAUCAGUAAGCGGAGGAAAAGAAACUAACAAGGAUUCCCUUAGUAACGGCGAGUGAAA
rnacentral:rRNA from 1 species